rnacentral:rRNA from 1 species
UACGUAGGGCGCAAGCGUUGUCCGGAAUUAUUGGGCGUAAAGAGCUCGUAGGCGGUUUGUCGCGUCUGCUGUGAAAGCCCGAGGCUCAACCUCGGGCCUGCAGUGGGUACGGGCAGACUAGAGUGCGGUAGGGGAGACUGGAAUUCCUGGUGUAGCGGUGAAAUGCGCAGAUAUCAGGAGGAACACCGAUGGCGAAGGCAGGUCUCUGGGCUGUAACUGACGCUGAGGAGCGAAAGCAUGGGGAGCGAACAGG